UAGACACUCAUACUUACCCAUAAGUGUGU
rnacentral:piRNA from 1 species